rnacentral:tRNA from 1 species
GCCGAGAUAGCUCAGUUGGUAGAGCACACGACUGAAAAUUGUGGUGUCCUGGGUCCGAUUCCCAGUCUCGGCACCA